rnacentral:rRNA from 1 species
GAUGAACGCUGGCGGCGUGCCUAAUACAUGCAAGUCGAGCGAACAGAUGAGGAGCUUGCUCCUCUGACGUUAGCGGCGGACGGGUGAGUAACACGUGGAUAACCUACCUAUAAGACUGGGGUAACUUCGGGAAACCGGAGCUAAUACCGGAUAAUAUAUUGAACCGCAUGGUUCAAUAGUGGAAGACGGUUUUGCUGUCACUUAUAGAUGGAUCCGCGCCGCAUUAGCUAGUUGGUAAGGUAACGGCUUACCAAGGCAACGAUGCGUAGCCGACCUGAGAGGGUGAUCGGCCACACUGGAACUGAGACACGGUCCAGACUCCUACGGGAGGCAGCAGUAGGGAAUCUUCCGCAAUGGGCGAAAGCCUGACGGAGCAACGCCGCGUGAGUGAUGAAGGUCUUCGGAUCGUAAAACUCUGUUAUUAGGGAAGAACAAAUGUGUAAGUAACUAUGCACGUCUUGACGGUACCUAAUCAGAAAGCCACGGCUAACUACGUG